UACGUAGGGGGCUAGCGUUGUCCGGAUUUAUUGGGCGUAAAGAGCGUGUAGGCGGCCAUGUAGGUCCGGUGUGAAAACUCGAGGCUUAACCUCGAGAUGUCAUCGGAAACCAUUUGGCUAGAGUCCGGAAGAGGAGAGUGGAAUUCCUGGUGUAGCGGUGAAAUGCGCAGAUAUCAGGAAGAACACCAAUGGCGAAAGCAGCUCGCUGGGACGGUACUGACGCUG
rnacentral:rRNA from 1 species